AGCGAACGCUGGCGGCAGGCCUAACACAUGCAAGUCGAACGGAUCCUUCGGGAUUAGUGGCGGACGGGUGAGUAACACGUGGGAACGUGCCCUUUGGUUCGGAACAACUCUGGGAAACUUGAGCUAAUACCGGAUGUGCCCUUCGGGGGAAAGAUUUAUCGCCAUUGGAGCGGCCCGCGUCUGAUUAGCUAGUUGGUGAGGUAACGGCCCACCAAGGCGACGAUCAGUAGCUGGUCUGAGAGGAUGAUCAGCCACACUGGGACUGAGACACGGCCCAGACUCCUACGGGAGGCAGCAGUGGGGAAUCUUGCGCAAUGGGCGAAAGCCUGACGCAGCCAUGCCGCGUGAAUGAUGAAGGUCUUAGGAUUGUAAAAUUCUUUCAGCGGGGACGAUAAUGACGGUACCCGCAGAAGAAGCUCCGGCUAACUUCGUG
rnacentral:rRNA from 1 species